rnacentral:tRNA from 1 species
GGGUGCUUAGCUCAGCUGGGAGAGCGCCGCCCUUACAAGGCGGAGGUCGUGGGUUCGAACCCCCCAGCACCCACCA